rnacentral:rRNA from 1 species
UGCUUUACACAUGCAAGUCGAACGGCAGCACGGACUUCGGUCUGGUGGCGAGUGGCGAACGGGUGAGUAAUAUAUCGGAACGUAUCCAAUAAUGGGGGAUAACUAAUCGAAAGGUUGGCUAAUACCGCAUACGCCCUGAGGGGGAAAGCUAGGGAUCUUCGGACCUGGCGUUAAUGGAGCGGCUGAUAUCUGAUUAGCUAGUUGGUGAGGUAAAGGCUCACCAAGGCAUCGAUCAGUAGCUGGUCUGAGAGGACGACCAGCCACACUGGAACUGAGACACGGUCCAGACUCCUACGGGAGGCAGCAGUGGGGAAUUUUGGACAAUGGCGAAAGCCUGAUCCAGCCAUUCCGCGUGAGUGAAGAAGGCCUUCGGGUUGUAAAGCUC